CGGUUGUCCCACCUGACCCCAUGCCGAACUCAGAAGUGAAACGCCGUAGCGCCGAUGGUAGUGUGGGGUCUCCCCAUGCGAGAGUAGGGAACUGCCAGGC
rnacentral:rRNA from 1 species